rnacentral:SRP_RNA from 1 species
UUUUAAAUAUAAUAUAUAAUAUAUCGGUAAGCUGAAUAAAAGCAGACAAGAGCUUUAUUUUGGUCAUGUGGCGUGUGGGUCCUGUGCGACAGGAUACCGUGAACCAUGUCAGGCGGGUGAACCGAGCAGCAUUAAGCGGACAAUUUUGUGCGCCACAGUCUGCCUGCCGCCAUAUGACCAAGACAAAGCUCUCUUUUUUUAAAA